AGAUCCCUGUGUACCUGAGGCCUUCUAAAGGUUCUUAAGAAUCCAGCUGUGUUUUCAAGCAUCCAGAUGUGCAUGUCAAGGAUGGUCCUGUCUGCAGUCGCCAGCCUGGCAGAUUUUGUCCAUCUACCCAGUGUUAUUCACUGAACUGUGGCUGUUAUCUAGAAUGGCACAGAAGAAAUAGAACCCAAAAGAAACAGGACCCACAAGAAAUUUCCCAGGCAUCCUAACAGCACCACCAGCAGUCACGGCAUCUUUUGAGGGCACUUAUGAAAUCUGGACUCUCAUGCUUCUGAUUGGAGAUAAUGGCAUUAAAAGAGAUCUCUGUGACCAACCACUCAGUAUUAGGGCUCACAGCUGACCAAAGUCACAUCAUCCUAUUCAUCAAAUCCUUCAUCGAGCAGUGCUAAUUAUUCCUGCCAGUCCUAUGCUGAGGCUGUUUGGGGCAUUCACUGAUCUCAUGGUAGGGCAAAUUUGAUUUCCAAGGUGAAUCUAUCUAUGAGCUACGAAUCUAUUUGGUUUGAGUCAUCUUUUGCCUUCCAGGUUAGCUAGCUCAGCCUUUCUCUGCCAACCUAACAUACCCUAAAGAAGAGCUGUGAUCCAGCUGCUGCUCUCUCCCUUUUCUGGUUCAGGAGCAUGAUGGUCCCAGGAUUGUGACUGCUCUUUCAAAAUACAAGGGGCACAAAGGAGUGCUUGCUGGUUGCUAAUUGCUGGAUGACAUUUUUCUACCCGCUGGCACUGCUGCAGUCGCUGCCCAGGACAUUCAUGGUUACAUCUUGUCUUUGAUCUUGUUCAUGGUCUGGCCUUCAUCUUUCUGCCUCAAAAUGUUCUCUUUCAUUUCCUGUUGGAGGAAGAGACUGAGUCCAUUCCUGCAGGUGGGAGGAUCAGAUAUAACUUUAUUGAAUCCUGUUUGCCCAUAGAAUGCCAGCAAGACAGAUUUUAAGGAGGAAAAAAGUGCCCGGUGUUUCAGCCAAAAGCCUUGCCUCCAUACAGGUGGUAAAAGCCGGGGUUGGAGAUGCUGUCAGACAAAUUAAAAACCUCCAGUAUCUGCUACCCCUGCACUCUCUGUGAUGCUGCCUGUUCGUUUAGUUCAAUACAACUUUGUGUUCUGCUGCCAGACUGGAGGAAGAUAGAGCAUUAUGACUGGAUGAUAGCUCGGUAUUUUGUCUUCAGGACAGCUUGAAGUGACUUGCCAAGGCUGCCCUGCAGCAAACACCCUUCUAGCAUUUCAGCCAGCACCUCGCUCUUCCACUCAUACAACACAGCAGGGCAUAGAAAACAACUAUGCAUUUCUCAGAAAGCCUACCUUGCAAGCUCUAGAAGGACCAUGACUUGGAAGAC
ensembl:lncRNA